UUUCAAUGUACAUGAACUACCAAAAUUUUUACAAAGAAAAAUAGGUCUCUAAGAAAUCCUUGUUCUGUGAUGUUUCAUUAAUUUGCUUUAUUUCCUAGAAACAUAAGGUUAAUGAUAUGCUGCGCCAGGAUUUCAACAGGACGGAUCAAAACUUCUUGGUUUCCAGUUGUCAGGCUUACUGUGGAAUUCUUCUGGAUGGGAUUGACAGAGAAAACACACCUUCGGCCACAGCGGAUUUUGGUCUCAAACCAAAUGGAACAUGUGACAUGAGGGCCUAAACAUUGAAAAACAAAUAGGAGGUCUCACUUCAUUGAGCAGCCUAAUGGGUAUGUGAAUUGAAAGCUGCGUUCAAUUUUGUUUGUGUUUUUCCUUGACAUUUAAAGGGUAGAAAAGAACAAAAUCACAAUGCACACUUACUUAGGGUCUCCAAGAUGAUCACAGCAACUUUUUUUAACCGAAGCCACACAUCUUGAAAAUGAAUUUUUUUCUUAAAAAUCAAUAUUAAUCUCAGAAGGUGAAAACUCAUUUUUUCACUUGUUUCUCUAUUAUUAUACUAUAUUAUACUAUAUACUUAUACUAUAUUGUGUCGAAUGCACUGGAGUGAACACAAAGUCUUAUUGUCUGCAGCCUGGUCAAACAGAGCAUGCAAGAAGGCUUGAUCAAUGGUGAUAUGCAGUGUAAUUAAUCCAGACUUGACCUGCAGGUCAGCAGAUACCUGCAGGCAACUGAAUGGAGUGGCUAAAUAUGCAAUUAGAGUCUUUUGUAAUUGCUUAUGACCUCAGCUGUCAGUUCUUGUUUGGACAUGUCUAGUUCAGGAGCACUUGAAAGGAAAUUACCGAAUGGGCAAUAGUCAAACGGGUUCUCAUAUAUGCAGUGUUAAACUUGCUUGAAUUAUAACCGUAAUUGCAGAACUUCUUGAGAUGAUGGUGCAUGUUUUUGUGCAGAAUAGAGCUGAUUAUACUCCAUCCUCACCAGCAGAGAAGUUCUGGUCCAUUACAAGAGAGAACAAUUUAAGUCUUGAAAGAUGCUGUUUAGUUACAAAUCCAGCCAUUAUGUUUAGAAAAUGAGCACAGCUAAGCUGUUCAGAGAUGAAAAUGCUGCUGUUAACGGCAAGCUGUCACACCCCAAGGAAGAAAAUUUACUUAGCCACUUCAAUUCAAGUAUGCUGGAGAAAAUAACUGAAUAACAACAAACAAAAAGUAACAAACUGUAUGAAAGGACGAAUGAUUAUUAAUACAUAAAGGUAUUAGAUUCAAUCUGACACGCUGUAUUGUUUUCUUUCUAGUAAAGAAUCUAUUCUAUUACUUUGCCUCUGUGUAAGGUGCAGUGCUUUUAAAGAUAGUUGUCAAAAAAGAAACUAAAGGCAAAGCUGACAUGAUUCCAGAUGAGGUAAUGCGUUUUGUUCAGGCUGGAUUUCAAAGCAGGCUGCUGGCUGAGCAAAUUGUGGAAAAGCCCAGAGCAAGCUGGCCUCUAUCUACACAAUGAUACUGUCCAUACCUGAAAGGAAUGCUCCAGAUUCAGUAUAAGUUAAGCUCAGUCGACAUAGCAUUAUGUUUAUUACCACAAAAAUAAUGUCCCCUUGUUCCUCCUUUUCAAUAAAAAAAGCAAAAAUCUGGAUUGCAGCAAAAUACAAUGGAAGUUAAUGGUGCCAAACUGUAAAUAUUAAAAUACUGGUUUCAAUAUAGCCAUAAUAUACAUAAACAAUGUGCGUUAAUGUGAUUUUGCUGUAUAUAUACCCAGUAUCGAAAAUCUUCAUAACACAAUGAAAUUAGCACAACACAACGGAAACAAGCCGCAAUACAACAAAAUUAGCAUAACACUAUGGAAACAAGCUGCAACAUAAUGAAAUUAGCACAACACAACGGAAACAAGCCAAAACACAGAGAAAUUAGAACAACACAAAAACAUUAGUCCUGUGCGUUGUGCUGUGGAGAUUUCAUUGAUUUUGUUUGUGGCAAAAAUUAUUAGAACACCUGACACCUGAAAAUAUUGACCUUUUUUGCCUCCAAAACAUGAUUUAAUUUCAUAAUGUUCAUGAAACAUGCUCUGAGCAUAACAAAUAUCAGAUUAAGUGAGUUGCACUGUUUUUAUCCACUUUUAACUUUAAUAUUUGGUAUGUCUACCUUCUGAAGCAAUUACAACAGCACAUCUCUCCGGCAUAUAGCCAAUAUAUU
ensembl:lncRNA